AAAAAAUUUCCUAUUCUCCAAUUUGUUUUUGUUUUUGUUUUGUUGCUGAGAGAAACAUCUUGGGCUUUCGAAGCUUCGAGCCAAGAAUGAGUGCCGUAGGGAUGGAUCUUUGGGUUUAAAUUCGUGUUCGGUUUAGCAAAGGUGGAGGGCAGUCAAGAGAGUAAAGAGAAAUAUAAUGCAAAACUAUAUAUCAAAAAUAAAGGGACAUUACACUAAAGAAGUCUGUAUGAAUUGAAAAUUUUGAAGUUUCAACCAGAGCAUUGCUAUUACAAAGGUUUUCAAAAUUGAGUAUAUAUACAUAUAUAUCUUUUUGUGUGCACCAAUUGAGUAAAUAUCUCACUCUAUACUCAUGUAAAAAUAUCUCAAAAUUUAUAAAAAAUACUUGUGUUUUUUUUGUAUAGGUAUCUCAAUAUUUAUACUAGCUUAAUUAUGUAUAAUUUAUUUUCUUGAUUAGAGUGAAAGAUUCAUUUUUGAAAAUCUUUCCGAUCUUUUUUUUUUGGCAGCAUCUGAUCUUUCCGAUCUUAAGAUGAUGAUAUUAGCUAAAUAUAAUUAAGUAUCGUGGUUGUUAUAAAAGAUUGCCAUUCAAAAUAAUGAAAUUUUACACCUUCUAUUUAAAAUUAAACGUGUUGGUGAUUAUUUUUCAAACAAGUUAUUAUUUCAGGUUUUGAAUGUAAAUUUUUAAAUAUUGUACAAUUUCAUCUCAAUGCAUUUUCCUUUUAGAAAUAAUAGUUUUUCAUAUUUUCCUAAUGUAUGUAGGAAAAAAUUAAACAAUAUCGAUUAUAUUUCAUUUUUUCAAAAAAAAAAAUAUCGAUUAUAUUUCACUUGAUUAAUAAAUAUACAUUGCAAUACAGAAAAUAUCUUAUAGGAAAUUUUGUAUAAAAAUGAAAAUAUAAUCUACAUUAUAAUAAUGAGGCAUUUUGCCACUCCUCAAUAUGUCACGUCAGCAUUUUGUGGAUCCCACUUUUAAAAAGUGUGAGAAAAGUAUCAAAUUCAUGGUUCAAAUCCGGAUUAUAGAGAUAUAAACACCAACAUUUAUACCACUAAACUAAAGGGUAUAUUAUACAUUGAUGGCCGAAAUUAAUAUAUAUUUAUGAAGAUCGGAAGUCCUUGCUUCUUCGGCUUCCUUCUGAGGGUCGGGCCUAUAAGUGUAUUAUAGGUUUUAUUUUUAAAUGAAAUUCAUCACAUUAUAUGAAAAAAGGCUCAAGUUUGCAACAAUUAUAGUUUUUUCAUAUUGUAAAUUGUCAUCGUUUAACAUGAGUUAGGGUUCUUUUCAUCAUUGUCCCAGACAAGUCUGAGUUACAGAGUUGCGCCGUGUGUCUAUUCGUAAUCUAUUUUUUCAUUGGUGAACUCUUCAUCUCCCCAUCUUAAAACACUUGAUCAUAAAUGUUCCUGAUUUGUAGUCCCUCCAUAAACCCUAUAUAUAUAUAUAUAUAUAUAUGAUUCUCAUCAUUGAUGAACCCAAUCUAUAUCUCUACAAAAGUAAUUGUUUUCUCGUAGCUUUAACCAUCUUCUAGAAAAUGUCUAUCUUUGCCUCUCCAGUUUCUCAAACCGACGUCUCCGGCGUCCGUCACUCACCUUCGAGUCUCUCCGUCUUGGUCGUAGUAGUCAGAGCAUAGCCUCUGGCCUUCUCCACUUUUGGGAUUCCCUGAACUUCAAGAAAGACAAUGAGAUUAUGAGAAUCACAAUUCUCUUCCUUGAUGAAAAUGUAAGUUAAUCUUCGAUCUAUCCCACUUAUUUAACAUAAUUGUUUUUAAUUGAUUUCCUGAUUCUUUUUUGAAUAAUAUUAUUUACAGAUUCCGUGAUUCAUGGUUUUAUUCUCGUUGGACGUGCUAAUCACUACAGGCUAUCUUUGAAAGCCGGUUCCAUUGUGAAAGUCGUUCGUUUUGGGGUUGCUAGGUGCUCAAGCAUGUACAAGCUAACUGAUCAUCCAUUCUUCAUUCGUUUCAUCUCACCAACCAUUAUCGAUGAAGUCAUCACGGGUGCUCCUGAGAUCAAUCUUCAGUCAUGAUUAGACUGUUAGACAAUCUCCAAGUGAUUGCGAACAAAAACCUAAAACUCCUAUGUAUAUUAUCAUAUUGCAUCUAUGUUUAUAUUAUGUUUUGAUAUCAUAACUGAUAUUUAAACUCGCAGAUGUGGUUUGAUAAAUCCGUUCUAUCCAAGGCUAUGACCUCACCAAAGAAACAACUCGAGUCGUUAUCCGUCUCUUCAUUGAUCCGUAAGAAAUAAUUAACACACAAUUCCCUUUAUAUUGCUGUAUAUAUUGUGCUACCAUCAAUAAUUAAAAAUAUUUCCUACCCAAGAUCUUUGGCCGUCUAUUUAUCUUCAUUACUUAUCAAACUAAUUUUACACAAACUUUUAUUUUGCAGUUUAAAAGAAACCACAACAGCCCAAAUAAUUAAAACACCAAAAAUUAGAAUCUCAAAAAGACGAAUUAUUAAUGAUCACCUUUUUUUUUUCUAAUCGUACAAAUAAACCUAAAACAAAUAUACCAAACAAAUCACAUCUACUAAACUCAACGACACAAUACAUUGAGUCAGCAUAAAAAAAUACAAACUACACGUCCAGAUAUUUAACAAUUUACAAACUUACUUUCGCAGAUGCUUACGAAGAUGACGAAGACGACAACCAAAAUGAGUGAAAUUACCUAAACAAAAAAGUAAAGUAAGUUACGAACUCUGAUAAAUACAACUAACAAUGAUUUUUGUUUACAUAUUACACAUCAAAUAAAAGAGAAACAACCACAACCACACCAGGAGAUACAAGAGACAAUCCCGACAUACACAAAAGCGGCAACAACAUCUCCACCUACUUACUCCUCUUGUCUUAUGAAAAUAGCUUACAUGCCCAAUGUCAACAGGCCAAUGCUAUUGUCUUCUUAUGAGAAAUACAUAAAUUCGUUUAAAACCCAUUAAGACCUAAAUAUUCAAAAUUAUCACUCAUUUUAUAGUUAUUUCUACAAGUCUUCACAUAUUUGGUUUAGAUGUCCGGUAAAAGCAACAAGUUUAAAACUAAAAAAACAUAUAAAAAACAUAAUAAGAAUAAUAAAAAUUAUUACUUAAUACACACAACUUACACAAUUAAACUGGAAAAAAAAUAUCCAGAAACAAAAGGUACUUUCAACAACCUUAAUAUAUUUAUGUACUCUCAACAGUACAA